rnacentral:sRNA from 1 species
UUAGCUAGCUAAGUUUAUAAAUGCAUGAUUCCCUUCUGUUUUAGGAGUUCUUAAUGCUA